GUGAGGAAUAUUGGUCAAUGGGCGCAAGCCUGAACCAGCCAUGCCGCGUGCAGGAAGACGGUCCUAUGGAUUGUAAACUGCUUUUAUUUGGGAAUAAACUCCGGUACGUGUACCGGCCUGAAGGUACCAAAUGAAUAAGCACCGGCUAACUCCGUGCCAGCAGCCGCGGUAAUACGGAGGGUGCAAGCGUUAUCCGGAAUCAUUGGGUUUAAAGGGUCCGCAGGCGGUCUUAUAAGUCAGUGGUGAAAGCCUACAGCUCAACUGUAGAACUGCCAUUGAUACUGUAGGACUUGAAUUCGAUCGAAGUGGGCGGAAUGUGACAUGUAGCGGUGAAAUGCUUAGAUAUGACAUAGAACACCGAUAGCGAAGGCAGCUCACUAAGUCUGAAUUGACGCUCAUGGACAAAAGCGCGGGUAGCAAACAGGAUUAGAAACCCUGGUAGUCC
rnacentral:rRNA from 1 species